AGCUUUGCGCGGUGGCAGUAUCGUAGCCAAUGAGGUUUAUCCAAGGCGCGAUUAUUGCUAAUAGAGUUGUCACUUUGGCUGCUGGGUGGACAUCAAGACUGGCAAUAACUGGCAGAAAGCAACUAGAAAGCAAUAGUUU
ensembl:snRNA U4 U4 spliceosomal RNA